rnacentral:lncRNA from 10 species
UACUGGACUAGUUUUUUAGCUUUAAACAACUAGAAAGCCAGGAGAAAAUAUUUGAGGCUGGCAGUGGACAACAGACAGCCAGAGAUGGUUAUUUCUGAGAGAGAAAAACUUACAAGGUGAACCCCCAAAUCAUCCAGCUCUCUGCUGGAAGAGAUUUUUCUAACUGUAGCACAGAGAGCUGAGGUCCAAGCAGGGCUCAAGAGUUGGGCCGAACAGAGAGAGAACAGAGUUUAGCAAAGCUGAAAUAGUUGAAUCUGCAGGGUGGAGCAUCAACAAGGAGGUAGCUUUAUAGAGAAUACUACCCUAAUCCCAUAUGAGGACCCCUUGUGAGGUCAUGACUGCGGACUGGGCUGUAGAUGAGCAGGAGACCACCUGGGACUCACAGUGCUAUGGAGAUAUAAAGUUCAAGAACACAACAUGCGUGCUUUCGAGGAGCGUAUCAUUAUUCAGGAAGUCAAGACACCAGUGAAUGAAAAGAAAACUCACUUUCUGCAAUAGCGCAAAAGAGCAGUGAAGAUGGUGCUCAGAUGAACUGUAAGUGUUCAGAUGAGGGAAACCAUGGAAGACAUCAUGGAGGAGAUUUCUUCUGUUCCUGGUAGAAUUGUGAGAUGCUGCAUCUGCGUUCCAGCUUUCAAGAAUAUAAUCUAUCAUCUGAAAACUUAAAGUCUUUUUUUAAAAAAAUUAGAUCAAAGCAGAGAGAAAAUGAUCUUCAAGUUUCUUUACCAAACUUGGUAUGUUCUUUUGGACUGAAAACUGAUGGAGUUGGAAGUGACUUUUGUAGUGAAAAUGAGGCUGGAGUAAUUAAUAUUGUUCCAGUGUUCUGGUUAUGCGCAGGAGUGAAUCAUGAUACCCAAAUUACAAUGACUCAUCUCUUCUGAGAGAAUAAAUUGUGAUUCUAUGAAAGUUUUGCUUCACUAGGAAUUUUUUGAAGGGUUCUGUUUGUUCUAGUUUAGAAACCUACACAGGCAAUAUGGGCUUUGCAAAGGUAUAAAAUUUUCUUAAAUAAAACUAAACAAAGAUCUAUUUUGAUUUUCAGCGUUGGAUUUUUUUUUUUUCUUGCCUUUCCUUUGCUUCUGGGAGAAAGUAUCUUCAGACAGGAAGCUUUGAGCUACUCAUAAAUUCUCCCUAACACUGCAGAAACAUAUUUCACUAUGAAAUGGUGGAGAUGACAGUAAGAGCCUCUUGUUUGAGGGGCAAAGCUGAGACAUCCUGAAUGCUAUGGAAGUUUAAUCUUCCAUGCUGACGCAAUCACGGGAAUAUUGUGCUCCUGGGGUUUUCUUUAUUGCCAGCUACUGUCUAAUGCCAGGACAAAAGGAAUAAUUUGAUUACAGCCGAGGAAAGCACAGUUUGUUCCUGUUACUUUUAAGUUUCUUUCUGUUUUUCAUUUGUUUUGAAAUGAGAGAUUGAGAACUCAGAAUGUAUUUGGUACAAAAUGAAAGAUAACUACUGCCUAGAGCUAUAUGGCAAAGACUGCAAUAUUUAGGGUGGCUCGAAUAAAAGGAGCUCUCUGCUUCUUAUCUAGUUAACAAAAUGAUAAAGGGAUCCUGUCUGGCAUAUGCGAUUAAUUCUCCCUUAGGAAAGGGACAUAAAUUAUUCUUAAUUGCCGAGUUAUGGGUCUGUUAUAAUUAAAGUUUGUUACUGGGGGUAAAAUGACACCAAGGGAGCAAAGACUGGACAAUCUGCCCACAUGGGAAUGUGUCUUCACCUGAACUUGGACCCAUUUGUGAAUCAGCAAAACUUUAGCUUUCUUCCUCCAUCCUGUGCUCCUUCUGUUAUGAAACCUCAUUGGCUCCAUUCUUCCCAAAAGCUUAUUUCUGUCUGUGAACUUUCCUACCCAUGUUGAGGUCGUAUUCUGUCAGUGGAGAGGAGGACUGAGUCUCUUCUCUUUUGGAUGCAACUUGAAACCUGAAAAUCUGAAAGGGGAGAACAUUCUCCAAAUCUACAAAUAGCAGAUUGGCUUAAUUUUGAAGCCUUCUUGUCCUCAAAAGAAAAAGGGGUGGGGUCAGGGUAGAAAGAGUUAUACAGUCAUUUUAGGUUUUGCACUUGGGAUCAAUGAAGGAGUUUGUUUGCCUUAGGAUGGGAAAAACUUUUAGAGCCCCCUGGAGUUCAGUGAGCCAGAUAGGUGAUCAAGUCUCAGGAUGAAGCCAAUGCUACAGGUACUGAUGAUAACAUCAAACAGGUCUCAGGGUCUCCAAAGUUUAGUAGGGACCUUGAGACACCAUGGAGACCACUCCUAUACUUUCCCAACAUUUGUAUAUUCUCAGACAGCUAAGAACCCAUCAGCUUUAUGAAGCCUUCCUGAAAGAGAGGUUCUGCAGAAAUCUUAUCUCCCCAACUAGCAUGUUAGUACUUCAUGGAAAGAAACUGUGUAUUGGAUUGAUUUUUAAUUUUUUAGUUUUUAACUUUUGUGGUACAUAAUAGGUAUAUAUAUUUGUGAGAUACAUGAGAUGUUUUGAUACAGGCAUGCAAUAUGUAAUAAUCCCAUAAAGGAAAAUGGGGUAUCCAUGCCCUCAGGCAUUUAUCCUUUGUGUUACAAUCUAAUUUUACUCUUUUAGUUAGUUAAAAAUGUACAAUUAAAUUAUCUUUACUUGGACAUUGUUAUAUCAACAUUGUGUAGUAAAGUUCUGUGCACAGUUUAGAUGUUUAAUGCAUAUUUAAGGCCUAACUGAACAUGUUCCUUGAACCUUUUUCUGGCACCUGCCCUCCUUAACCCACUAAGUUUGAGAAGAAAUUGGGAGAUGAAAGAUGGUCCAACUACCUUCCCGUCCCUCAGUUUAUAUCACGCUAUGGUAAACUCGUGGCAUCAGAAGUAUUUAUCCUCAACCCUCCAGCCUCCCCUUCCUAGUAUCCCCUCUUAACACCAAAUAACCAAUGAAUAGAGGAGUAGGUACAGACUAGAGAGCCUGGGCUCAGCUGCAGCCCAACUUAGCAGUGUUUCAGUUGAAAAGAACUUCUUCU